rnacentral:rRNA from 1 species
AGGACGAACGCUGGCGGCGUGCUUAACACAUGCAAGUCGAGCGGAAAGGCCUUUCGGGGUACUCGAGCGGCGAACGGGUGAGUAACACGUGAGUAAUCUGCCCAUCGCUUCAGGAUAGCCAUCGGAAACGGUGAUUAAUACUGGAUAUGACAUUCCUUCGCAUGUUGGGGUGUGGAAAGUUUUUUCGGCGGUGGAUGUGCUCGCGGCCUAUCAGUCUUGUUGGGUGGGUAAUGGCCUACAAGGUCUUUGACGGGUAGCCGGCUGAGAGGGUGACCGGCACACGUGGGACUGAGACGACGGCCCAGACUCCGUACGGGAGCAGCAGGUGGGAAUAGUUGGACAAGUGGGACGGAAGCCUGAUCCAGCCGAACGCCGCGGU